rnacentral:rRNA from 1 species
GACGAACGCUGGCGGCGUGCUUAACACAUGCAAGUCGAGCGAUGAAGCCGGAGCUUGCUCUGGUGAAUUAGUGGCGAACGGGUGAGUAACACGUGAGUAACCUGCCCUUGACUCUGGGAUAACUGCGGGAAACUGUAGCUAAUACCGGAUACGACCCUCGGAGGCAUCUCCUGGGGGUGGAAAGAAUUUCGGUCAAGGAUGGACUCGCGGCCUAUCAGCUAGUUGGUGAGGUAAAGGCUCACCAAGGCGACGACGGGUAGCCGGCCUGAGAGGGUGACCGGCCACACUGGGACUGAGACACGGCCCAGACUCCUACGGGAGGCAGCAGUGGGGAAUAUUGCACAAUGGGCGCAAGCCUGAUGCAGCGACGCCGCGUGAGGGAUGACGGCCUUCGGGUUGUAAACCUCUUUUAGCAGGGAAGAAGCGAAAGUGACGGCACCUGCAGAAAAAGCACCGGCUAACUACGUGCCAGCAGCCGCGGUAA